rnacentral:rRNA from 1 species
AUACGUAGGUGACAAGCGUUAUCCGGAUUUACUGGGCGUAAAGGGCGUGUAGGCGGUCUUGCAAGUCAGAAGUGAAAUUCCUGAGCUCAACUCGGGCGCUGCUUCUGAAACUGCAGGACUUGAGUGCUGGAGGGGAUAGCGGAAUUCCUAGUGGAGCGGUAAAAUGCGCAGAUAUUAGGAAGAACACCGGUGGCGAAGGCGGCUAUCUGGACAGUAACUGAAGCGGAGGCGCGAAAGCGGUGGGAGCAAACAGGAUUAGAUACCCUGGUAGUCCUCGCCGUAAACGAUGAAUACUAGGUGUAGGGGGUAUCGACUCCCUCUGUGCCGCAGUUAACACAAUAAGUAUUCCGCCUGGGGAGUACGGCCACAAGGUUGAAACUCAAAUGAAUUGACGGGG